GGCAGCAGUUCAGGACUACAAGAAAAGAGAGAGAGAGGGUGGAAGGCGACUGGGCUGUGCGUAGGAAAUCCGGGUCUCACAGGGCAGGGCGGCCCUUCCAGGCCUCAGCUGGCCCCCUGUGACGUGAGUGUUGUUCCAAGUGGUGUCUUCCCGACGGGACCCCGUAUCUGGCAGCAGGAGGGCUUCAGCCACCUCUAGAAGGUACAGCCUCACCUCCUCCCUCAGCUCUGCGAACUGCAGUUGGACAACUCAAUAGAGACUUCAGAGAAAUCGCCACAAGACCUUACGCUCUGACAAUCCCCAUGCCUGAUGCUGUGUCAGCCGCUGAAAAAUGUUCACCUGAAUACCCAGUGACGUCACCAAAAGGCACAUGGACAUCCAGAUUUCUUCUCAACUGGCAGCUCUUCAGGCUUAGAAACUGCGUUAUCAUUUGCUCCAAUCACCAACUUUUUUCCUUUUAUUUUCAUAGAAAUGCUUCUUAUUAAAUACCUGAUUACUUCCUUACACAAGAAAGGACAAAUUUUGGGAACCCACCUGCAUCACUGGGUGUGAGUCAUAAAUAUUGAACUGAGCUGACCCAGUCUCAGGACUAAGAGACUGAUUCAAUGAGAUCUGGAUCGAUUUACCAACUCAGCACGGGUUUAAACUUACACCAGAUGACCCGAGGUGUUAAAAUACUCCACAAUAUUACCUAAUGUCCUGGCCCUGGGUGGCUCAGUUGGUUAAGAGCAUCAUCCUGAUAGGCCAAGGUUCCCGGUUCGAUCCCUGGUCAGGGCACACACAAGAUUCAACCAGUGAAUGCAUAAAUAAGUGGAACAACAAAUCAAUGUCUCUCUCUCUCCCAUUUCCUCCUUCUCUCCCCCACUUCCCCCCUCCCUCCCCCCUCCUUCCUUUCUCUCUCUAAAGUCAAUCCAUAUAAAAAAUAAGUGAAAAAUAAAAAAUAAAAAAAUAAAGUCAAUUUAUAAAAUUAAAAAAAAAUUAUUGCUCAGCCCUGGCUGGUGUGGAUCAGUGGAUUGCAAACCAACCAAAGGGUUGGCAGUUCAACUCCCAGUCAGGGCACAUGCCUGGGUUACCGGCCAGGCCCCCAGGAGAAGACGUGCGAGAGGCAACUACACAUCGAUGUUUCCCUGUCUCUCUCCCUCCCUUCCCCUCUCUAAAAAUGAGUAAAUAAAAAUUUAAAGAAUA